rnacentral:tRNA from 1 species
GGGGAUUUAGCUCAGUGAUAGAGCGCUUGCCUAGCAAGCACAAGGCCCUGGGUUCGGUCCCCAGCUCCU